rnacentral:rRNA from 1 species
GCAGAAUUCAGUGAAUCAUCAAAUCUUUGAACGCAAAUUGCACUCUCGGGAUAUACCCGGGAGUACGCUUCUUUCAGUAUCGGUUCUAUCUAAACUCGCCUGCGUUUUGAUCUCCGGUCAAAACAAAGUGGCGGAAAUUGAGUGUCACACUUUUUUCUCGAAGGGUGUGUCUCUUGAAGGAUAGAAACGGUAGCUUUUCCGUUUUCUCCUUGAGAAAACUCGUUGGCUCUUCCCUUUUCCGAGGGCUGAAGCAAACUGAGUGACGUGGUUAAGUUCGCCUCGUGCGACACCCGCCAUCGUCAACCAUCUCAGUGCGCUCUCAGUUGGGGUCAAUCGAGAAUGGAAAGCAUCAAUUGCCGUUCUUUGGAUUAAACUCCAAAUUACAACAAAAUCAGAUCUGAAAUGAAGUGAGAGGACCCGCUGAACUUAAGCAUAUCAUUAAGCGGAGGAAAAGAAAAUAACAAUGAUUCCC